CUUUCAUUCCUUCUGACCUUCUAGUUUGCUUGUUUAACUAACAUCCAGGCUAUGUUGGCGUCUUGGAGUAACCGCACGGAUCCACCACAAAUGGGACCCCCACCACCACCUGCGGGAGAACCCCCACACGUGCCCACGUUCGAUGAAUGGGUGGCACUAGGCAGUGAUAGUCCGGGGACCGGUGGCUCGACUCCUGCUCCAUCGACCCCAGUCACUCCGAUCUUCCAGAGUGAUGGUGGUCGCGGUGGCGGUUUUGGCGGUGGCGAUUUUGGCGGAGGUGGUCUUGGCGGUGGUGGUUUUGGCGGAGGUGGUCUUGGUGGUGGUGGUUUUGGCGGAGGUGGUCUUGCUUGAUCUUUCAUGUUCCUACUUUCAUGAUGUUCCAUGUCUUGCACUAGUUUUAUGUUCAUGAACUUUCGCCGGUGAUGAACUUGACUAUGUUUAAAUGAUGAUGAUGAACUUGAGUAUGUUUAGAUGAUGAACUGUCAUAUUUCUGCAUAAUCCCAUAUUAUUCUGCUUUGAAA